GGCGGACGGGUGAGGAAUACAUCGGAAUUUGCCCAGUCGUGGGGGAUAACGUAGGGAAACUUACGCUAAUACCGCAUACGACCUAACGGUGAAAGCGGGGGAUCGCAAGACCUCGCGCGGAUGGAUAAGCCGAUGUCGGAUUAGCUAGUUGGUGGGGUAAAGGCCCACCAAGGCGACGAUCCGUAGCUGGUCUGAGAGGAUGAUCAGCCACACUGGGACUGAGACACGGCCCAGACUCCUACGGGAGGCAGCAGUGGGGAAUAUUGGACAAUGGGGGCAACCCUGAUCCAGCAAUGCCGCGUGUGUGAAGAAGGCCUUCGGGUUGUAAAGCACUUUUAUCCGGAACGAAACGCGCACCGUGAAUAACGGUGUGAACUGACGGUACCGGAGGAAUAAGCACCGGCUAACUUCGUGCCAGC
rnacentral:rRNA from 1 species